UUCUUGGUCAUUUAGAGGAAGUAAAAGUCGUAACAAGGUUUCCGUAGGUGAACCUGCGGAAGGAUCAUUAAAGAAAUUUAAUAAUUUUGAAAAUGGAUUUUUUUGUUUUGGCAAGAGCAUGAGAGCUUUUACUGGGCAAGAAGACAAGAGAUGGAGAGUCCAGCCGGGCCUGCGCUUAAGUGCGCGGUCUUGCUAGGCUUGUAAGUUUCUUUCUUGCUAUUCCAAACGGUGAGAGAUUUCUGUGCUUUUGUUAUAGGACAAUUAAAACCGUUUCAAUACAACACACUGUGGAGUUUUCAUAUCUUUGCAACUUUUUCUUUGGGCAUUCGAGCAAUCGGGGCCCAGAGGUAACAAACACAAACAAUUUCAUCUAUUCAUUAAAUUUUUGUCAAAAACAAGAAUUUUCGUAACUGGAAAUUUUAAAAUAUUAAAAACUUUCAACAACAGAUCUCUUGGUUCUCGCAUCGAUGAAGAACGCAGCGAAAUGCGAUACGUAAUGUGAAUUGCAGAAUUCCGUGAAUCAUCGAAUCUUUGAACGCACAUUGCGCCCCUUGGUAUUCCAGGGGGCAUGCCUGUUUGAGCGUCAUUUCCUUCUCAAACAUUCUGUUUGGUAGUGAGUGAUACUCUUUGGAGUUAACUUGAAAUUGCUGGCCUUUUCAUUGGAUGUUUUUUUUCCAAAGAGAGGUUUCUCUGCGUGCUUGAGGUAUAAUGCAAGUACGGUCGUUUUAGGUUUUACCAACUGCGGCUAAUCUUUUUUUAUACUGAGCGUAUUGGAACGUUAUCGAUAAGAAGAGAGCGUCUAGGCGAACAAUGUUCUUAAAGUUUGACCUCAAAUCAGGUAGGAGUACCCGCUGAACUUAAGCAUAUCAAUAAGCGGAGGAA
rnacentral:rRNA from 1 species